GCUUAAAGCUGACUUAUAAAAAAAAAAAAAUAAUUGUUGCUUAAAGCUGAAAUCUAAUACUUGUACUCCUCUUUGUUUGGUUUGCAAGUUUGGCUCUUCUGUUACAGUU